rnacentral:rRNA from 1 species
CACGGGGGUUGCGAGCGUUGUCCGGAAUUACUAGGCGUAAAGGGUGCGUAGGCGGUCUUUCAAGCCAGAAGUGAAAGGCUACGGCUCAACCGUAGUAAGCUCUUGAAACUGUAAGACUUGAGUGCAGGAGAGGAGAGUGGAAUUCCUAGUGUAGCGGUGAAAUGCGUAGAUAUUAGGAGGAACACCAGUUGCGAAGGCGGCUCUCUGGACUGUAACUGACGCUGAGGCACGAAAGCGUGGGGAGCAAACAGGAUUAGAUACCCGUGUAGUCCCU